GACGAACGCUGGCGGCGUGCUUAACACAUGCAAGUCGAACGAUGAACUUGGAGCUUGCUCUGGGGGAUUAGUGGCGAACGGGUGAGUAACACGUGAGUAACCUGCCCUGGACUCUGGGAUAACUUCGAGAAAUCGGAGCUAAUACCGGAUAGGACCUUGCACCGCAUGGUGUGGGGUGGAAAGUUUUUCGGUUUGGGAUGGACUCGCGGCCUAUCAGCUUGUUGGUGAGGUAAUGGCUCACCAAGGCGUCGACGGGUAGCCGGCCUGAGAGGGUGACCGGCCACACUGGGACUGAGACACGGCCCAGACUCCUACGGGAGGCAGCAGUGGGGAAUAUUGCACAAUGGGCGCAAGCCUGAUGCAGCAACGCCGCGUGCGGGAUGACGGCCUUCGGGUUGUAAACCUCUUUCAGUAGGGACGAAGCGUGAGUGACGGUACCUACAGAAGAGGCACCGGCCAACUACGUGCCAGCCGCCGCCGUAACAC
rnacentral:rRNA from 1 species